GUGAGUGGGAUAGUCAACUUUCGGAAUCUGCUGUUAAAUCAGCAAAUUCUGAUUAAUGAGAAUUUGAUUCUGAGGAAGGUCUGUCCAUCUUAAGGGAUGUCUGCCUUAACAACCCUCAAGAUUUUAUCAAGAGGUAGAGAGAUAUCACUUAACAACAGCAAUGUUGAGUCACUGUUGAAAAACAGUUGUCGCGAGGCAAAGCUCUGCUACAGAAACGCCACAGUCCUGUUGGAGUUAUGAACUCUUGGAGGGAACUUAGAAAACAGGAAUUUGAUGAAACGAGCAACUUGGCUGAUGCAAGAGCAAGCAAUAAGCUACGCUCGCUAAGUAAGAUGUUGAUGCAAUCCAUCUCUGCUCUGCAGAGGGAUUGACAGAAGGUGGCCUAUUUCCCACUCAC
rnacentral:RNase_P_RNA from 1 species